rnacentral:lncRNA from 1 species
GCCUACUUUUUGCAACCCAGAAUUCCUAUACUGAAAGGUCAGGCCUGGUGUAUUUGCCAUUGUAAUCUCGCUAUUUUCCUGCUUUUAAUCUCCCCAUUGUCGAGGUUUUAAAAGCAAGAGUGAUGUUUUGCUGAUGAGAGAGUGAAAAAGAAGAAAUAUACGAUAUGCAGCCUCCUGAGUGGGCUGUCCAAAGAUACAAAGUGUGAAUUCAUUCACUUAGAGGGUCAGAGUUAGAGGAGGGCUGAGUAGGUGCUGAUUUCUUAUCAGGUCUUUGCUCCGCUCCAUGGCUGAGGGUGUUGUGAGGCAAUGCAAGGUUUAAAGGGAGAAGAUGUCUUCCUUCUCUGUAGCAGACUGAACGUGGCCUUUCCUGAUGCCUGCGUCUUCCCAGGUGCAGACAAACUGAGUCUGGUGAGUGGCUCUGGACCAGCCUGUCAUUUCAGUCGAGCUGUGUCUUUGCACUCAAAUAGCCUCUGAUUUUAAAAUGUUUCUGCCAAGAGGAAUGACCACAGUACUGUAUGAAGCUAUGGAAAAAACAGCUGAACCUUUUGAUAUGUUGAUGUUGUUAUAAUAUCUAGUCCCAUCUUUUGAAAACAUAAAUCAGGGAAAUGUGUGCAUGGAAGUUCAGAAAUAAAUACCUGGACUUUUUUUAUCAUUAAAGUAUUCAGAAUAUAUAAAGAUUAUCUUGAUAAAUAUGCUUUGUUCUUUAAAUGAAUGGAUGAAAUUUGGCAUGCUUCUUAAAGAGGCCUUUUGCCAGUCUUUUCCCAUAUUCUUAGCUCAUGCCUUUGCAUAAUGAUGUGAUCCAUGGUGGGCAGGAAUAAUUCAGCCUAACGAUGAAUAAUGGUAGCAUUUGUGGUCAACUGGUCAUGACAUUCUCAUUUGAGCAUUUCUCUUUGGGAACUGCGUCUUUGAGUCAUGAGACUUGCAGUAAUGUCAAAUAAGAGAGCAGCACAGAAUCAGGCUGGAUGAGGGAGAAAGGGGACACUUGUUUUCCAGGGUCCACUGUGGUGGAGGAUGGAAUUAAAGGAAAA